UAUCAUUAACUGAAUCCAUAGGUUAAUGAGGCGAACCGGGGGAACUGAAACAUCUAAGUACCCCGAGGAAAAGAAAUCAACCGAGAUUCCCCCAGUAGCGGCGAGCGAACGGGGAGCAGCCCAGAGCCUGAAUCAGUGUGUGUGUUAGUGGAAGCGUCUGGAAAGGCGUGCGAUACAGGGUGACAGCCCCGUACACAAAAAUGCACAUAUUGUGAGCUCGAUGAGUAGGGCGGGACACGUGGUAUCCUGUCUGAAUAUGGGGGGACCAUCCUCCAAGGCUAAAUACUCCUGACUGACCGAUAGUGAACCAGUACCGUGAGGGAAAGGCGAAAAGAACCCCGGCGAGGGGAGUGAAAAAGAACCUGAAACCGUGUACGUACAAGCAGUGGGAGCACGCUUAGGCGUGUGACUGCGUACCUUUUGUAUAAUGGGUCAGCGACUUAUAUUCUGUAGCAAGGUUAACCGAAUAGGGGAGCCGAAGGGAAACCGAGUCUUAACUGGGCGUUAAGUUGCAGGGUAUAGACCCGAAACCCGGUGAUCUAGCCAUGGGCAGGUUGAAGGUUGGGUAACACUAACUGGAGGACCGAACCGACUAAUGUUGAAAAAUUAGCGGAUGACUUGUGGCUGGGGGUGAAAGGCCAAUCAAACCGGGAGAUAGCUGGUUCUCCCCGAAAGCUAUUUAGGUAGCGCCUCGUGAAUUCAUCUCC
rnacentral:rRNA from 1 species